rnacentral:rRNA from 1 species
AACAGGAUUAGAUACCCUGGUAGUCCACGCCGUAAACGAUGUCGACUUGGAGGUUGUUCCCUUGAGGAGUGGCUUCCGGAGCUAACGCGUUAAGUCGACCGCCUGGGGAGUACGGCCGCAAGGUUAAAACUCAAAUGAAUUGACGGGGGCCCGCACAAGCGGUGGAGCAUGUGGUUUAAUUCGAUGCAACGCGAAGAACCUUACCUACUCUUGACAUCCAGAGAACUUAGCAGAGAUGCUUUGGUGCCUUCGGGAACUCUGAGACAGGUGCUGCAUGGCUGUCGUCAGCUCGUGUUGUGAAAUGUUGGGUUAAGUCCCGCAACGAGCGCAACCCUUAUCCUUUGUUGCCAGCGGUUCGGCCGGGAACUCAAAGGAGACUGCCAGUGAUAAACUGGAGGAAGGUGGGGAUGACGUCAAGUCAUCAUGGCCCUUACGAGUAGGGCUACACACGUGCUACAAUGGCGCAUACAAAGAGAAGCGACCUCGCGAGAGCAAGCGGACCUCAUAAAGUGCGUCGUAGUCCGGAUCGGAGUCUGCAACUCGACUCCGUGAAGUCGGAAUCGCUAGUAAUCGUAGAUCAGAAUGCUACGGUGAAUACGUUCCCGGGCCUUGUACACACCGCCCGUCACACCAUGGGAGUGGGUUGCAAAAGAAGUAGGUAGCUUAACCUUCGGGAGGGCGUUUACCACUUUGUGAUUCAUGACUGGGGUGAAGUCGUAACAAGGUAACC